rnacentral:rRNA from 1 species
GUCGUGAAUCACGGCCCCAACAACGUGUCGCGAUGGAUGACUUGG